AUCAUAGAUACAAUGUCAAAUAACAAUUGCGCACCAGCCAAGGAUGUUAUUUCUGCAACAUCGUAAGCGGGAGCUACUUCGACAAGGUCAGCGCCUACGAAUUUCAGACCUUGCAAACCACGUAAAAUUGCUCUCAUUUCUCUAGAUGACCAACCGCCAGUUUCAGGAGUACCCGUAGCGGGUGCAAAUGCAGGAUCAAGCACAUCAAUAUCAAUGGAUAAAUAUACCAAAUUAUCACCAACUCUGUCACGAAUCUUUUUGACGAUACCAUCAAUCCCCAAAUCAUCAA